ACUGCCCAGACCUCCGCCCUAUUCUCUCGCUCUGAUUCUACUGGCAGGCAGAGGGACUAGAGAAGAGAGAUAAAGAGCGGCCGGCUCCCUCAUUGAGAUUUAAAGCGAUCUGGGGUUUCUUUCCCUCAAUAAUGGCAUGAGGUCACUUGGCUUUUGUCAAGGGCACCAGAAAUGAAGUGGGCUGUUCUGCUCGGCUUUGACUUCAAUUCAGCAACCCAGAGUGCACAUUCCACAGAAGCUGUUCGUCAUCGGCAUCAUCACCAUCAUAGCAGCCAAUACUGACCGGACUCUCAUUAUAUGCCAAGCACUGGGGAGCCCCCCCUGCCAGGCCAGCAGUCACCCUGGAACUCAUCAGAGGCCCCAGGAUGCUGCUGUAGGACAGCGCGGAGAUACUGAGCAGCGGUGUUUUAUGCCUCGGCCUGCAGGGCUAUGGAGGUUAAGAGCACAGUGUCAGAGAAGCCUAGAGGACAGAGGAAGACUCUGCCCCUUCCCAGGGAGGCUGCCCAGGGGUGGUGGCCAUUGAGCUGGCUCUCUGUACUUCUAUGUGUAUGGUUAAAAAAAUAAAAAUAAAAGCUCAGGCUGGGAGAGCUUGCUCAUAUUGUCCAGCACGGAAUCUUACAUCAACAACUACAAUACUGAUCGUAAGAAUAACUUCCU